GCGCGUAUAGCUCAGCUGGUUAGAGCGCCACAUUGACAUUGUGGAGGUCCCCGGUUCGAAUCCAGGUACGCGCACCA
rnacentral:tRNA from 3 species